CCCUAGGCUCACGGAGCCUCCACUGCGGCUGCGCGGCUAGUAGGCAAGCGUGCGGCUUCUGCGGUUGCGCAAACUGGGCUCGCGCUCGCACGUCCCUUAGGUGCCACUCCUCCCUCCAGUCUAGUUUCCUCGGGUCGUGUGUGCAGCCUACGGUUUCUG
ensembl:misc_RNA